AUUGAACGCUGGCGGCAUGCCUUACACAUGCAAGUCGAACGGCAGCGGGGGAGAAGCUUGCUUUUCCUGCCGGCGAGUGGCGAACGGGUGAGUAAUACAUCGGAACGUGCCCUGUAGUGGGGGAUAACUAGUCGAAAGAUUAGCUAAUACCGCAUACGACCUGAGGGUGAAAGUGGGGGACCGCAAGGCCUCAUGCUAUAGGAGCGGCCGAUGUCUGAUUAGCUAGUUGGUGGGGUAAGGGCCUACCAAGGCGACGAUCAGUAGCUGGUCUGAGAGGACGAUCAGCCACGCUGGGACUGAGACACGGCGCAGACUCCUACGGGAGGCAGCAGUGGGGAAUUUUGGACAAUGGGCGAAAGCCUGAUCCAGCAAUGCCGCGUGUGUGAAGAAGGCCUUCGGGUUGUAAAGCACUUUUGUCCGGAAAGAAAUGGCUCUGGUUAAUACCUGGGGUCGAUGACGGUACCGGAAGAAUAAGGACCGGCUAACUACGUGCCAGCAGCCGCGGUAA
rnacentral:rRNA from 1 species